rnacentral:rRNA from 1 species
AUUGAACGCUGGCGGCAGGCCUAACACAUGCAAGUCGAAAGAGUGGCGUACGGGUGAGUAAUGUCUGGGAAACUGCCUGAUGGAGGGGGAUAACUACUGGAAACGGUAGCUAAUACAGCAUACCAUCAGAUGUGCCCAGAUGGGAUUAGAUAGUUGGUGGGGUAACGGCUCACCAAGGCGACGAUCCCUAGCUGGUCUGAGAGGAUGACCAGCCACACUGGAACUGAGCCACGGUCCAGACUCCUACGGGAGGCAGCAGUGGGGAAUAUUGCACAAUGUGCGCAAGCCGGAUGCAGCCAUGCCGCGUGUAGUAUGAAGGCCAUCGGGUUGUAAAGUACUUUCAGCGGGGAUGCGUUACCCCCUGAAGAAGCACCGGCUAACUCCGUGCCAGCAGCCGCGGUAAUUC